UACGUAGGGCGCAAGCGUUGUCCGGAAUUAUUGGGCGUAAAGAGCUCGUAGGCGGUUUGUCGCGUCUGCUGUGAAAACUCGAGGCUCAACCUCGGGCUUGCAGUGGGUACGGGCAGACUAGAGUGCGGUAGGGGUGACUGGAAUUCCUGGUGUAGCGGUGGAAUGCGCAGAUAUCAGGAGGAACACCGAUGGCGAAGGCAGGUCACUGGGCCGCAACUG
rnacentral:rRNA from 1 species